GUCAUAUUCAUAUAUUUUUUCCCCUUUGACAGGUUUUGUUGCUUCCACUUGAGUGCUGCUCAAAACAAAAACUGGGGUUACAAGUGUUGGUUGGUUAUGAAAUGAGCAUCAAUAGUCAAAGGCAGCAUCACUGCCUAGAGGACACCAGCAAAAAAAGAAAAAAAACAGCAAAAAACGAAAGCUUGGAAAAUGAGAGGGUUAUUUUUGUUUUGUUUUGCUGUCCCUUUUUGAGUCCUAUCUUCUGGCCUUCCUCCUCACAGAUAUUUUUGACCUUUAGGUGCCUUUAUGAGAAUUGAGGGUCUGAUAACCUGCCCCAAGGAGUAGCUAAAGUGAUUGCUGAUGUUUUCAGGGAUUUUAACAUCAGCCUUGAAUGAGUGAAUGAACCUUUUUUCUUCCCCUUUCAUCAUUUUUUUUUUUUAAUGUAGGAAGAACUAAGGAGAAAACUGGUGAAGACAAUCAUUUCUCUCUACUGAUGUGGAUAAUUUUCAGUUUAUCUCAGAUGCUUUCUCAAAUAGGUCUCAGAACCAGUGUUCUUGCUCAGCCUGAAACUGGUGGCUCUACCAAAGGCCUAGCACCACCUUGGGGGCUGCAAUAAAUACUUAAAAAAGAGGGAGAAAAGCCUUCAUUUUAUUUUCCCAUCAUCUGUUUUCA
rnacentral:lncRNA from 1 species